UAGGGAAUCUUCCACAAUGGGCGAAAGCCUGAUGGAGCAACGCUGCGUGUGUGAUGAAGGCUUUCGGGUCGUAAGCACUGUUGUAUGGGAAGAACAGCUAGAAUAGGAAAUGAUUUUAGUUUGACGGUACCAUACCAGAAAGGGACGGCUAAAUACGCGCCAG
rnacentral:rRNA from 1 species